UUUUAGGUAAACGCUGCAUUUUAAAUGUAAUGUAGAGGAAAGUCCAGGCUCACACUGAUCUGCGAUGACAGUAGUGUUUGUGUAUAGGGAAUAAAUAACCUAUAGUAGCUUUGCUAACGGCGAAAAGAGUCCUAAGGGAAACUAUGGAUAAUUUUCAUAAAGUGCCACAGAGACGAUUUUUCUUGAAAAAGAAAACUGAAACGUUGGUAAACCCCACAAGUGAGAAACCCAAAAUAUGGUAGGGGAACUCUCAAAUAGGAAUUGAACUAAAUGAGAGAUGAGUAAUCAUAGAUAAAUGUUUACCGCCGGUAACGGUACAGAACUUGGCUUAUU
rnacentral:RNase_P_RNA from 1 species